UUCAAGGAAGUGACCAUUUUUCUCUUUUCUCUCCCUUUCUCUAUUAAAAAAAAAAAUUAGUUAUUGCUGUAUUCUACUGAAACACAUAUAUUUCACUAAAAUUAUUGGUGGGAAGGUAUCUGAAAUCCAGGGAGAAAUCUCUGCAUGCUGUAGCUACAUCUACAUCAAUAACCUAUGUGUACCCUGAAGCAUUCCCAGACACUGAGGUGGUAGCCUGUCUGGCAGAAACAAGCUGCUCCUGGCAUGGGCUGUAUUUUGAACUGACUGAAGCCCUCAUUGCCAAAACUUCCAGACUUGGAAGCCUAAACCUGAAGUUUCUAAAUAUGAACAUAAACACCUAAAUUUAGAAAUAGUGAAUUUGGCUGUAUGAAGGGAGAUGUUACAUUCUGUGUGUUUCACUCCCUGGGAGCAUCCUGGGAAAGGUGUCUUUGUACCUUUGCAGGGAGUCACACCAGUGUAAGCAUGAGAGAACUGAAGUAAAGCUGCUGCAAGA